GUGGCUGCGUGAAGAAACAGGAAGCUCGUGAUGCUCAGCGCAGCUGUUAGAACUUUAUUCUUUCAAGAAGACACGCCGCGCGCUGCGUUAGGAGACGUUCACAUCCAGAGGCUGAACUCGGUCCUCGUCGGUGUUUUGUCAUCCGGUCAUGGGCUCUCUGUUCCGCAGUGAAGAGGUCUGUCUGGUACAGCUCUUCCUCCAGUCGGGAUCGGCCUACAACUGUGUCAGUGAACUGGGAGAGCUGGGAAUCGUGGAGUUCAGAGACCUGAAUCCAAAUGUGAACGCGUUCCAGAGGAAGUUUGUGAACGAAGUGAGGAGAUGUGAGGAUCUGGAGAAAACCUUUG